rnacentral:rRNA from 1 species
CAGCCGCCGCGGUAAUACGUAGGUGGCAAGCGUUAUCCGGAAUUAUUGGGCGUAAAGCGCGCGCAGGCGGUUUCUUAAGUCUGAUGUGAAAGCCCCCGGCUCAACCGGGGAGGGUCAUUGGAAACUGGGAAACUUGAGUGCAGAAGAGGAGAGUGGAAUUCCAUGUGUAGCGGUGAAAUGCGUAGAUAUAUGGAGGAACACCAGUGGCGAAGGCGGCUCUCUGGUCUGUAACUGACGCUGAGGCUCGAAAGCGUGGGGAGCGAACAGGAUUAGAUACCCCAGUAGUCCCUGUCUCUUAUAC